GCCCAGAUGGUCUAGUGGUUAUGAUACAUCGUUGUGGCCGAUGUGAGCCAUGUUCGAUUCAUGGUCUGGGCA